rnacentral:rRNA from 1 species
GGGCCCGCACAAGCGGUGGAGCAUGUGGUUUAAUUCGACGCAACGCGAAGAACCUUACCUACACUUGACAUCCUCGGAACUUUCUAGAGAUAGAUUGGUGCCUUCGGGAACCGAGUGACAGGUGCUGCAUGGCUGUCGUCAGCUCGUGUCGUGAGAUGUUGGGUUAAGUCCCGUAACGAGCGCAACCCUUAUCCUUAAUUGCCAGCGGUUAGGCCGGGAACUCUAAGGAGACUGCCGAUGACAAAUCGGAGGAAGGUGGGGACGACGUCAAGUCAUCAUGGCCCUUACGUGUAGGGCUACACACGUGCUACAAUGGCCGGUACAAACGGUUGCGAACCCGCGAGGGGAAGCUAAUCCGAGAAAGCCGGUCGUAGUCCGGAUUGGGGUCUGCAACUCGACCCCAUG